GGAGAGAUGGCUCAGUGGUUAAGAGCACUGACUGCUCUUCCAAAGGUCCUGAGUUCAAAUCCCAGCAACCGCA
rnacentral:tRNA from 1 species